AGCCGGUGAUUGGGGCGCCACCGUCAUCCUCGGGCUCCUCCCAGUUAACGGUCAUGGAGUCCAUGGUGACAUUGGUGACCGUCGGCUUCUCACACUGACCGGGGAUGGCUGCAGAAAAGAUCGAAGGUCUGGUCCUGGAUGAGGAUGGGUCCGGCUGUGGAUGAAGGUCGGCUGGCUCCGGCGUCAUUGUACGCCACCACUCUGAACUCAUACUCGUCUCCCUCCGUCAGGUCCUCCACCUUGAAGCUGGUGGUGUCCACGUCUCUCCUGUUACACCUGAAGGUCACAGCAAAGACAGACAGUUUAGCUGCAGAAGUCGGGAGGAACACAUUUUUUAGUGUAAACCACGGACUGUAUAUGCUUCUCUCCACAAAAGUAAAGGAUGAGAAAGAAUUAGUAAAGUGCAAAUUUAACUCUAGGAAAAUCUGGAAAAAGUAUAGAAAUGAGACAAAAAAAUAAAGAGAAUGGCUAACUAAGUAAAGACUUUCCAACAGAAAAAGUUGUGUAAUCAAAUCUGAUUUUAAAAAAUAAAUAAUUAAAAAAACCUUUUGUAACUAUUA